rnacentral:piRNA from 1 species
UACACAUCUUCAGAUGGGAAACAGGUC